CGAGAGUUUUGUGCCCUUCCCGAAGGAUCCUGGGCACAAAGUAUAGUAUAAAUAAGAUGUCCCUGCCUUUGCCUGUCUACCCUGCUGAUAAGAUGGGUCCUGCUGUCCCCAAAAUGGCAGUGUGGAGAAGCUGACACCCAGGGGGCACCCCAGGAAUACCAGGCAUCUGAAUGUCUCACUUCCCUCCUCCUCAAGGU